rnacentral:rRNA from 1 species
UCGGAGCUAACGCGUUAAGUAGACCGCCUGGGGAGUACGGUCGCAAGAUUAAAACUCAAAUGAAUUGACGGGGGCCCGCACAAGCGGUGGAGCAUGUGGUUUAAUUCGAUGCAACGCGAAGAACCUUACCUACUCUUGACAUCCAGAGAAGCCAGCGGAGACGCAGGUGUGCCUUCGGGAACUCUGAGACAGGUGCUGCAUGGCUGUCGUCAGCUCGUGUCGUGAGAU